CUUCGCGUACAGUUUGGCGUCAGUAUUGAGUGGGGAUAUGGGCCUGAAGUUGGGGCAGUGGGUCGGGGGUUUACCUGGCUUCGGCAGUGUGAUAAUGUGUGCUAGUAGUAGUUCCUCGGGCAGUUCUUUCUCAUUAGUAGCCGAGUUGUAGAGCAGCGUCAGGUGCGGGGCUAGGAUUUGCUUAAAUUUCUUGUAGUAUAAGUUAGUAAACCCA